rfam:Macaca mulatta chromosome 2, whole genome shotgun sequence.
AGCACUUGCGCAUCUUGUUAAAAUGCAGGUUCUGAUUCAGCAGGAUUGGGGUGGAGUCUGAGAUUCUGCAUUUUUAACAAGCUCCCAAGUAAUGACAG